GAAUACAUCACCUCCCUUCGGGGUUUGCGUGGACUUGGGCGUCUGCCGGCUCCGGUCGGCUCGCCUCGAAAUGCAUUAGCCUGCAGAGUGUCUGCCGGGCCUUUGGCGUGAUAGUAACAUUUCGCCGUUGCGCUCUGGUGACGUUCGCCUCUGGGCUCACAAUGUGUGCACACCAGCACGUUUUUUUUUUACG
rnacentral:misc_RNA from 1 species